GAAUAGUACCGUGAGGGAAAGGUGAAAAGAACCCCGGGAGGGGAGUGAAAUAGAACCUGAAACCCUACACUUACAAGCUGUGGGAGCGCAUUAUUCGCGUGACCGCGUACUUUUUGUAGAACGGGCCAACGAGUUACGUUAUGUGGCAAGGUUAAGCACUUAAGGUGUGGAGCCGAAGCGAAAGCGAGUCUUAACUGGGCGCCAUAGUCACAUGACGUAGACCCGAAACCGGGCGACCUACCCAUGAGCAGGAUGAAGCGAAAGUAAAAUUUCGUGGAGGUCCGAACCCACGUACGUUGAAAAGUGCGGGGAUGACUUGUGGGUAGCGGUGAAAUUCCAAUCGAGCUCGGAGAUAGCUGGUUCUCCCCGAAAUAGCUUUAGGGCUAGCCUUGAAAUUUAGAGAUGUGGAGGUAGAGCACUGAAUGUCCUAGGGGGUAUUGCACUUACCGAAGACUAUCAAACUCCGAAUGCCAUUAUCUUUUGUUCAGGAGUCAGACUAUGGGUGAUAAGGUUCAUAGUCGAAAGGGAAAGAGCCCAGACCGUCAGCUAAGGUCCCUAAAUGUAUGUUAAGUGGUAAAGGAUGUGGGAUUGCACAGACAACCAGGAUGUUGGCUUAGAAGCAGCCACUCAUUUAAAGAGUGCGUAAUAGCUCACUGGUCGAGUGAUCCUGCGCCGAAGAUUUCCGGGGCUAAAACAUACUACCGAAGCUACGGCAUCAUAUGAUGAUGGGUAGGGGAGCUUCCCAUGCAGGCUGAAGCGAUACCGUAAGGAGUCGUGGACAGUAUGGGAGAGAGAAUGUUGGCAUGAGUAGCGAGAUGAGGGUGAGAAUCCCUCAGGCCGUAAACCCAAGGUUUCCAGGGGAAGGUUCGUCCUCCCUGGGUUAGUCGGGACCUAAGCUCAGGCCGAAAGGCGUAGGCGAUGGACAACAGGUUGAGAUUCCUGUACUACCGAUAAUCGUUUGAGAGAAGGGAUGACACAGUAGGAUAAGCUGAGCACACUGUUGGUUAUGUGUGUCUAAGCGUUGAGGCAGACUAGAUAGGCAAAUCCGUUUAGUUAAUGCUGGGGCGCGAUGGGGAGCGAAACUAAGUAGCGAAGCAGCUGAUUUCACACUGUCGAGAAAAGUCUCUAUCGAGAUUAAAGGUACCCGUACCGCAAACCGACACAGGUGGGUGAGGAGAGUAUCCUAAGGCCAGCGAGAGAACUGUUGUUAAGGAACUCGGCAAAAUGACCCCGUAACUUAGGGAUAAGGGGUGCCCCAGCAAUGGGGCCGCAGAGAAUUGGCCCAAGCGACUGUUUACCAAAAACAUAGGUUUCUGCUAAGUCGCAAGACGAUGUAUAGGAGCUGACGCCUGCCCGGUGCUGGAAGGUUAAGGGGAUCUGUUAGAGCAAUCGAAGCAGUGAUCUUAAGCCCCAGUAAACGGCGGCCGUAACUAUAACGGUCCUAAGGUAGCGAAAUUCCUUGUCGGGUAAGUUCCGACCCGCACGAAAGGCGUAACGAUUUGGGCACUGUCUCAACAACAGACUCGGUGAAAUUGUAAUCCCGGUGAAGAUGCCGGGUACCUGCGACAGGACGGAAAGACCCCAUGGAGCUUUACUGUAGCUUGACAUUGGGUUUCGAUACUACAUGUACAGGAUAGGUGGGAGACUAUGAAAUCAGGGCGUCAGUUUUGAUGGAGUCAUCCUUGGGAUACCACCCUUGUAGUAUUGGGACUCUAACCAUAGGCCAUGAAUCUGGUCUUGGGACACUGUCUGGUGGGCAGUUUGACUGGGGCGGUCGCCUCCCAAAAGGUAACGGAGGCGCUCAAA
rnacentral:rRNA from 1 species